rnacentral:rRNA from 1 species
GCAGCAGUGGGGAAUAUUGCGCAAUGGGGGAAACCCUGACGCAGCAACGCCGCGUGAGUGAGGAAGGCCCUAGGGUCGUAAAGCUCUGUCAGAUGGGAAGAACGGUUAAGGGUUUAAUAGGCCUUUAAUUUGACGGUACCAUCAGAGGAAGCCCCGGCUAAUUUCGUGCCAGCAGCCGCGGUAAUACGAAGGGUGCAAGCGUUUUUGGGAUUUACUGGGGGUAAAGCGCGCGCAGGGGGAUUGAUAAGUCAGAUGUGAAAUCUCGGGGCUCAACCCCGAAACUGCGUCUGAAACUAUCAAUCUAGAGUUAUGGAGGGGGAAGUGGAAUUUCGCAUGUAGGGGUAAAAUCSGUAGAGAUGSGAAGGAACACCAGAGGGGAAGGGGACUUCCUGGCCAUAUACUGACGCUGAGGCGCGAAAGCGUGGGGAGCAAACAGGAUUAGAUACCCUGGUAGUCCACGCCGUAAACGAUGUGCACUAGAUUUGGGGGGUUUGACCCCUUCCGAGUCGCAGCUAACGC